rnacentral:rRNA from 1 species
CCCGCACAAGCGGUGGAGCAUGUGGUUAAUUCGAUGCAACGCGAAGAACCUUACCAAGGCUUGACAUACACCGGUAACGCCCAGAGAUGGGUGCCCCUUUGUGGUCGGUGGACAGGUGGUGCAUGGUUGUCGUCAGCUCGUGUCGUGAGAUGUUGGGUUAAGUCCCGCAACGAGCGCAACCCUCGUCCUAUGUUGCCAGCGGGUCAUGCCGGGGACUCAUGGGAGACUGCCGGGGUCAACUCGGAGGAAGUGGGGAUGACGUCAAAUCAUCAUGCCCCUUAUGUCUUGGGCUUCACGCAUGCUACAAUGGCCGGUACAAAGGGCUGCGAUACCGCGAGGUGGAGCGAAUCCCAGAAAGCCGGUCUCAGUUCGGAUUGGGGUCUGCAACUCGACCCCAUGAAGUCGGAGUCGCUAGUAAUCGCAGAUCAGCAACGCUGCGGUGAAUACGUUCCCGGGCCUU